rnacentral:lncRNA from 1 species
GAGAGGCCGGGAGCUCGGGCGGCCGGACGGAGGAGGGACGAGGCAGCGCGCGGGGGAGCGCGCCCUCGCCCUGGCCCCUCCGAGUCUUCGACUAGUCCUUGCAACUUCUUGGCGUGAUAAUCGGGAAAAGUUGGCCCGUGCCAGGUUUCCGACAGGGAUCAAACAGGCCUUCUCCCCUCCUUUUCCCGAAAGGAGCUUCGGGAGGAAACAGUGAUGGAGGAGGAACUGAGAUGAGGAACAACCCGGAGAACCCUCACCCACCCGCGCAGAGGAAAAUGCAUGGCACAUUAUUAAUGAGACUUGAGAAGGGGGCAUCUCUCUGUGAUCUGUCUGUCUACGGACCUCAUUCAUUCUCCUCUCUCUUCCACAAAGAGAACUCACAAAGGCCUGUGACCAGAGGGUGCUUAAAAUUUCAGAGACGAAUGUGAAUAUUACUUUCAAAUCUCCAACAGGAAACUAUGCCAAAGUCACAUCCAUCUUGAGAAGGCCUCAGAGGAGCUGUAAGGAAGCUGAGGGGACCUGCUCUCAAGAGGCAUCUCCAGGAGAGAGACAGAAACCCAAACAGAUGUGACUGUGAUGAGUAAAAAUGAGAGAACUCAGACAGCCUAAUCGGGAGCAGCCUCAGUCCAUUCUGAGCAGAAAGGAAUUGGCUGUCUUUCUGAAAUUCUGAAAAUGAGAAAUUUCAAACACCCUUCCUAUGUGAAGAUAAGCUCACUCAGAAUCACUUGCCAGUUUGUUCUCCUUCUACACUAACAGUUCACCAAAAUAUCUGAGUGGGAAGUUACCUGGUCAAGGACUGAUGAUGAGCUCAAAGAAAGGAAAUGUUGGCAGAUUCAAAUGCACCAACGUCGAGUAACACUGGGAUCUCCCCAUUCACUAAGUAAGGCAGCAGAGAGAGUAUUUACGAGAUGAGGUAGCCAAGUACCACCUUUUGUGGUCUAAUUAUGUACAAAGGCUCAGAGAAACAACUGGAUAGAAAUACAAAUGAGGAGUUUAGAGAAAAGCUAACAGAAUAGGCUCUUUUCAGCCAGCCAGGCACAGUGGCUCACACCUGUAAUCCCAGCAUUUUGGGAAGCUGAGGCAGAAGGAUCCCUUGAGCCCAGGAGUUCCAGGCUGCAGCAAGCUAUGAUCCUGCCACUGCAUUCCACCCUGGGUGACAGAGUAAGACCCUGCCUCUAAAAAAAAGAAAAAUAAGAAAAAAGAAAGAAAAGAAA